CUCGUAAGGCGGUUCAACAAGUCGGUCGUGAAAGCCCGGGGCUCAACCCCGGGACGCCGGUCGAAACUGUUGUGACUAGGGUCCGGUAGAGGUGAGUGGAAUUCUCGGUGUAGCGGUGGGAAUGCGCAGAUAUCGAGAGGAACACCAGUAGCGAAGGCGGCUCACUGGGCCGGUACCGACGCUGAGGAGCGAAAGCAUGGGGAGCAAACA
rnacentral:rRNA from 1 species